UCGAGGGGUAUAGUAGCAAUACUAGAGACCGGCGCACGGGUGCGUAACGCGUAUGCAAUCUACCUUUUGCAAAGGAAUAGCCCAGAGAAAUUUGGAUUAAUACCUUAUAGUAUAAUACCUUGGCAUCAAGGAAUUAUUAAAGAUUUAUCGGCAAAAGAUGAGCAUGCGUCCCAUUAGCUAGUUGGUAUGGUAACGGCAUACCAAGGCAACGAUGGGUAGGGGUCCUGAGAGGGAGAUCCCCCACACUGGUACUGAGACACGGACCAGACUCCUACGGGAGGCAGCAGUGAGGAAUAUUGGACAAUGGGCGCAAGCCUGAUCCAGCCAUGCCGCGUGCAGGAUGACGGUCCUAUGGAUUGUAAACUGCUUUUGUACAGGAAGAAACACUCCCUCGUGAGGGAGCUUGACGGUACUGUAAGAAUAAGGAUCGGCUAACUCCGUGCCAGCAGCCGCGGUAAUACGGAGGAUCCAAGCGUUAUCCGGAAUCAUUGGGUUUAAAGGGUCCGUAGGCGGCUCAGUAAGUCAGUGGUGAAAUCUCCCGGCUCAACCGGGAAAUGGCCAUUGAUACUGUUGGGCUUGAAUUAUUAGGAAGUAACUAGAAUAUGUAGUGUAGCGGUGAAAUGCUUAGAGAUUACAUGGAAUACCAAUUGCGAAGGCAGGUUACUACUAAUGGAUUGACGCUGAUGGACGAAAGCGUGGGUAGCGAACAGGAUUAGAUACCCUGGUAGUCCACGCCGUANACGAUGGAUACUAGCUGUUGGGAGNAAUCUCAGUGGCUAAGCGAAAGUGAUAAGUAUCCCACCUGGGGAGUACGAACGCAAGUUUGAAAC
rnacentral:rRNA from 1 species